GUUUGACCGUUAGGUUUUAUGGGUAUUAUGACACCACCACUGUGAGGCUCUAUGGAGGACUGCUCCUCCGACCUAGGGAGUGCCAAUAUGGCCGACUAGUGGCCAAUACAUAGCGUCAGCAAUCCAUGUGUUACAUACGUCAAUCGUCUAAACCCAUGCAUCGCCUCAAAAUGACAUUUUUUAGGAUGUGGUUGUAUACGGUAAUGUCUACUACGCAUGCGCAAUGUCCUCAACGGUGCUUGGAAGGGAGGAUAUAAAGUUGGAUCUAUUUUUCCUUUGUCAUAUUGACGCUUGGCUUAUCUACAGUGUUCAUACGUAUCGGUUGUCGUUUAUAACAAACGGUGGUUCGUCAGCCUGAUUUCAGCGACUGCACGUUGAAUAUCUGCCUGGUCCAGUUUCCCAUAUCCAUCGUGUGAUCGCCAAGGCAGCGAACCCAUGGCGGACUCGGUGGAGACGUUCCAGACCCACCUAACCUCAGUCAUGGACAGUUUGAUCCGCGCAUCGGUGUGCGAGAUCACCAAACUGUUCCAGGACACGGUGAAUGACUAUCUGGUGGAAAUAUCGCUGAACAGGAAGGAAAUGGACGCUCUAAAACUCCGACUCCGACUGACGGAGAACAAACUGAGAAAUGAACGCAAGUACGGGAUGGGGUGGGCAGAGAAUCGCCGCAAUGCUGGUUUGAUAGUGUCUGAGGACGGUGGGCGGAAAAAGCGGAAAAUUGAAGUGCCUCGAGGAAAGCAGACGCUGGGCCUUGCCUUGGGAGGCGCGGGGGAGGAGGAAGGAGGAGCAGCCAGGGUAGUAAUGGGGGGAGGGUGGAAGGAGGCACGCGAGCUGUACCUCAUUCAGUUCCCCGGGGAGGAAGGAGAACUGGAGGAGGAGGGGGGCUGUGUUUCAGGAGAGGGGGAGGAGAUGGACAACAUCAAAGAGGAGGUGAGGGAGAUGCGUCUGAAUAUGUCCUACACAACGUCACUGCAUCGGAGACCACUAUACUGAACACAAAUCUAAACGCAACAUGUAACAAUUUCAAAGAUUUUACUGUCUUACAGUUCAAAUAAGUAAAACCGGUCAAUUGAAAUGCAUUCAUUAGGCCCUAAUCUAUGGAUUUCACAUGACUGGGAAUGCAGAUAACUUAAAAAAAAUUUAAAAAGUUGGGUGUGGAUCAGAAAACCAGUCAGUAUCUGGUUCUCCUUCUCAGAGUUGAUCAGGCUGUUGAUUGUGGCCUGUGGAAUGUUGUACCACUCCUCUUCAAUUGCUGUGCGACGUUGCUGGAUAAUGGUGAGAACUGGAACACGAUGUCAUACACGUUGAUCCAGUGCAUCCCAAACAUGCUCAAUGGGCUGACAUGUCUGGUAAGUAUGCAGGCCAUAGAAGAACUGGGAAAUGUUCAGCUCCCAGGAAUUGUGUACAGAUCCUUGCAACAAGGGGCUGUGCAUUAUCGUGCUGAAAUAUGAGGUGGUGGAUGAAUGGCCUCAGGAUCUCGUCACUCUAUCUCUGUGCAAUCCAAAUUGCCAUCAAUAAAAUGCGGUUGUGUUUGUUGUCUGUAGCUUAUACCUGCCCAUACCAUAACCCCACCGCCACCAUGGGGUACUGUUCACAACGGUGACAUCUGAAAACCACUCUCCCACAUGACCCCAUACACGUGGCCUGCGGUUGUGAGGCCGGUUGGACGUACUAACAAAUUCUCUAAAACUACGUGGGAGUUGGCUUAUGGGAGAGAAAUGAACAUUCAAUUCUCUGGCAACAGCUCUGGUGGACAUUCCUGCAGUCAGCAUGCUCCCUCAACUUGAGACAUCUGUGGCAUUGUUGUGACAACUGCAUAUUUUAUUGUCCUCAGCACAAGGUACACCUGUGUAAUGAUCAUGCUGUUUAAUCAGCUUCUUGAUAUGCCACACCUGUCAGCUGGAUGGAUUAUCUUGCCAGAAGAGAAAUGCUCACGAACAGGGAGACAUUUUUUUUUUUGUGCGUAUAUGGAACAUUUCUGGGAUCUUUUAUUUCAGCUCAUGAAACAUGGGACCAACACUUUACAUGUUGCGUUUUAUAUUUUUGUUCAGUGAAGUUUGUGAAUAUAACAAUGUUCUCAGUCUCACCACACGCAGAUACAAUGUUCUUCAUCUGCUGUGUUUGUGUGACUGACAAACUGCAGCAGUGCUGGUAAAUGGCGUGGAUGUUGGAAAGACACUGAUUUGAUAUUCAGGUGCAGAAGUGCUUGUUCAGAAAGUGCACUCAAGUGUAGAACGUUGUAGACCCUAAACAUGAAUAUCAUUUUAGGACUGAACAGUUGUGUAUUCUACCAGGUGACUUAAAGAAUACAAUUGUCUUCGUGUCAUCUUAAACUGUCUAAACAUUGUACGUUUACAGAAAAUGCCCAGUGUAAAACUUGAACAGUGUUCUUUGGGAUACUUGCAAAGUGCACUUUCAUAAGUAUUUACAUGAAAUGCUGGGGGUGCUAGUGAACUCUGCAUUGCAUUAAUGUUACUGUAUUGUAGUCUAUUGUGGGUAAUGUAGUUAGUUUUGC
rnacentral:lncRNA from 1 species